GCUCUCCCGGAGGUCCAGGUCCGGGAGAUGACAGUGGCUCCCAGAAAGCCCAGGAUUCAAUCACUGAGAGAGUGCUUAGGCCCGAAUGCCAGCCCAAAUCGUUCUACUCACCGUGUCGGAGGCCGAGGCCGAGGCCGAGAGCGAUGAGAGUGCAGGGAAGUGGGGAAGAGGGGGUGGCCGCCAGGCUCCUCCGCUUCCCUGGGUCCACGGCGGAUCCCUCCCGCUUGUCAGGAGGCGGCCAGCGGGGGCAGGAGAGGAAGGGACUGGCAAAGCGAGUCUGGCUUGCCGUUUGACUGGAAUUGCCAGGGUGGCGGGCCGAGUCCCACGAUAACCUACCUCCCUGGGUUCGUCGCCGCGGCGCUGCGGCUCGCCUCCUCCUCCAUGGGACCGCGGCGAGCGGAUCGAGGGCGGCCUAGCGCCCCUCUGCCGGCCGGUGGUUGGAGGCCGCGGCGGCUGCGCGUUGAGUCGUUUCCUGCCGUAUGACCCGACCCUUUCUCGCAGUCGCAGGACGGGCGCUUUGGAGCCGAUCCCAGGUAGUGUGUGUCGGUCGCCUCGUCUGGAGAACUACUCCUCGACUCACGGUGAGGGAAUGGACCGGCACGGGGGUUGUAUCGCUGAGGGAAAGGAGCGGGACUCCGGACCUCCAGGAGGUAGGGAGUGAGGCCGGUAGACCGGCGCGUCUCCGGGGAGAUUCCUCCCGGGCGUUGAGUUGCCAACCUGGGACCCGAGGAAGAUCGGCGUGG
rnacentral:sRNA from 1 species